rnacentral:rRNA from 1 species
AGCGAACGCUGGCGGCAUGCUUAACACAUGCAAGUCGCACGGGCUGCUUUCGGGUGGUCAGUGGCGGACGGGUGAGUAACGCGUAGGGAUUUGUCGUUGGGUGGGGGACAACCCGGGGAAACCUGGGCUAAUACCGCAUGACGCCUGUGGGCCAAAGCAGUGAUGCGCCUGACGAGGAGCCUGCGUUCGAUUAGCUUGUUGGUGGGGUAACGGCCUACCAAGGCUGCGAUCGAUAGCUGGUCUGAGAGGAUGAUCAGCCACACUGGGACUGAGACAC